rnacentral:SRP_RNA from 1 species
UUGCGCUAAGCGGGGAGCCAGCGGUGCCCUGAAUCUGCAAUCCGCUUUAGCAGAGCCUAACUCCCACGCCGAGGCCCAUUCUUGUGGGGCCGGGCGGAGCACGGAGCAAUGAGAAGUGGGUCCUAUGCGACGGCGCGGCGUGAACCCCGCCAGGGCCGGAAGGCAGCAACGGUAAGCGCCCCCCGCCGUGCGCCGUAGGUUUCCUGCUUCGAGCCACCGACUCCGAUUCCGCCUGUAAGAGUGUGGUCGAAGCGUGGGUGCGCAG